GAAGACUGCACACUAGCCAUUGUGAGCUGCUAUUGUUACUUCAGAACCUUAGGUCACAGAAGAGGCACAUCUAGUCUAUUCCUGCAUCCCUGUAAUCCGUACUCAAUGAUCUCCAGUUCCUGCUGAGCUGUGGGUUGAAGGGGAGUGAGAAUAAACAGAGUGGCCGAUGAUGUCAACGGAGAAGCGGAAAGCAAAACAACGUUGAAUUCUUUUCUGUCCUAAACCACUUGUUAAGAGCUUGAAAGUUUCACCCUCUGAAGCCACAAAGAGGCCAGUAACCCAGGGAAAUGAAUAUGUUAGCUUAGAGCUUAACAUAAAAUGUUGUACUGGCUCCCUGUUCCUAAUCAGUGCUCCAUGAAUUUACGUUGGGCAGCAGAGAGAGGACUGAAAAUUCACUUCAGGAAAUGCCUUUCCUUCCAGGGACAACAUCAUUCUGGAUUAUCAUCAAGUGCUCUUCACGUCUUAUAUUCCACCAA